ensembl:lncRNA
CGUCACGUUCUCUCUGAUGUUCUUUUACUUCGCCCAAAAGCACCGUUUUUUCUCUAAGGCAAGGAGUACUAUCAGUUGCAUAACAGUGUUCUGUACAUCUAGAACACCAUAUUACAUUACCACUUUUCACCAAGGUUGUCUCUAAAACUGGGCGCGUGCAGUAGCCCCGAGACUGCCACGUUGCUCCUCCCGGACUGCCGAGCAGAAAUAUAAACUCACAACAGAGAGAAGCACGAGAUUGAACUUCACUCAACUUUCUAGAGCAGUAGUCACCAACCGGUCGAUCGCGCUCAACUGGUCGAUCUACAAGGCAUUCCUAGUCGAUCGCGCUCAACUGGUCGAUCUACAAGGCAUUCCUAGUCGAUCGCCAAACAUUUAUGUAAAAAACCCAACGAUAAAGCCUUCUAUUCCUAAUUUCUUGUUAUUCGUCUCCGGCUGUUGGCUGUAUGUGGACCCAAUCCAGCUGCCCUGUGCGUCGGAUAGGCGAACUGUUGCCAUUUUUAACCAUUUUAUGUGUCUGAAGGUACAAACUUCUGCCUACACGGGCGGGCCCAGAGAGCAAAUCAACUGCACAAAAGAUCUACUGCUGGCAGAACGGAUGGCUCAGAUGGCGGUGUCUGCAGUAAUGUAGCACCGCAUAAAAGAUAGCUACAACAAAGUUGAUACUGUGAGAUUUCAGAACGUUUAAAACAAUGACAAGGUAGAGACUGUCAACGAAUACAGAAAAGAUAUACUGUUUUUAUGAGAGUAACAACAUGAAUUUGUGCAUUAAUGCGGUGCGACUCGAGUUUCUCCAUCAUCUGGAAGGUGUCAGUGGAGGAAAGGGAGACCAAAGGGAUGGUGAGAGGCGGACCCUCAGUCUGCUGCUCUCUCUCUCUGCCGAGACUGACCAUCAGAUGCAGGCACCAUCCGCCCAGUAAAAGAAAAAGCAAAUUAUUUAAAUGUAUGCUCACUCAGCUGUGCUUCACAAGUAAUACAACAACUGAUCUAUUACCGGGGUGAUCAUAUAGCCUACCUAAAAUUUUGAAAUACAUAUUUUUUUAAGUGGCCCGAACAACAGUGCAUUGGCAGGGCAAUUCAAGCCAAGCCGAUAUGCGGUGAUAAUGUAUUGGGCCUAUAGCUUACUGCACAAACCUCAUUGCUGCAGAACUGUUUUUAAUUGGUUAAUGUUGCAUAGGCUUAUGUUUUUUAAGUCAUGUUAAAAAUAAAUCUGCAUUUUGAUUCAAAGUGAUCUUGAUUCAAAAAAGGUUGGUGACCACUGUUCUAGAGUUUUCCCUGUUAACACUAUCAACAUUUCCCUCUACUGUGGUCAAAUCAAUGCAAUAUAUGCCACUUUCAAUGCAAUAUACUGAAACAAAACAAACUAUGCAAGAGAUUUUGUUGUAGGCAGAACGCAUCAGAGUAGGAUUCUAUUGCAUUCACACAGCCUACUCAGACUGUACUCUACACAGACUGGUAUAUGCAAUUUUAAACUGGGUGGUUUGAGCCCUGAAUGCUGAUUGUCUGACAGCUGUGGUAUAUCAGACCGUAUACCACGGGUAUGACAAAACAUUUAUUUGUACUGCUCUAAUUACAUUGGUAACCAGUUUAUAAUAGUAAUAAGGCACCUCCGGGAGUUUGUGGUACAUGGCUAUACCACGGCUAAGGGCAGUAUCUAGGCAAUCCAUGUUGGGUCGUGUGUAAGUACAGCCCUUAGCCGUGGUAUAUUGGCAAUAUACCACACCCCCUCGUGCCUUAUUGCUUAAAUAGACCAUUGCCAUAUAUGGAUCUUUGCCAUUUACUUUGAUCUGGACUGUGUUUACAGCAUGAGUGGUCAUGAGUAGAUGCUGUUGUUUUGAGAUCAAAGCGAGAGCUGCAUGUAGCCCUAUGUGCACAUUUUGUUCAUAUCCUUUGCUAGUUAGUGAGUUAUUAGCCCAGUUAUAAAUCAUUUGUAUUCAGCAAUAAGGGAGGGAUUGCUUCCUACAAGAGCACAAAAUGUAUACAUUUCUAGACAUCUACAAAAAGCCAGUUAGGUAAAGAGCUUUUUUUUGUCUUAAAGGGGCAGUGUUGUAUUUUGAGACAGGUUUGAAUAAGCUAGCCAAUAGGCAGAGGGUAGCAUAAUUUGUCUUAUUCUCUGUAAUAAUGGUAUGGGAAUAAUAAUGCAUUUUAUUUUGUAAAGUGGUUUCUUGCAUCAAACAACACAACAUUUUCAGUCACCUCCUUGUCUGAAGGACAAGUGGAUAAACAGGUUAAUGUCAAGCCCUGCAUGUCCCCCAAAGUCUCAUGGAAUGUAGGCUUACAUUGAACACCACAUUGGCUGCUACUGUAGGCUGAAUGAUAGAACAGCUAUUUCCAUGUUAAAUGUUAUGGGAGGCAUUUUCUCCAUUGAUUUUGAUGGUAGGCCACUCUGGUAGGCCACUCUGGUAGGCUUACAUUAUACAUCAUUUUCACAACGUUCAAGUUUGAGCUCAGCAGACCUGAAAUUUACUUGGUGCUGCAAAAAAAUGAAGGGAACAUUGUUUAUCACUAUUCACCCUUGUUUUUUCUCUGUGCACAAGUGUGAAUCAUCUAUCAGCAAUGCCAUAAAGAUGGUUCAUGUUUACGGCAGGCAACCAGUAAACAUUAAAGGAAUCAUUGGAAACAAUAUGUGCACAUGUGGUUUGUACUGGGUUUACUUAAUUUACAGAGAAAAAAUCAUAACUUUAAAUAAACUUCCUUGAGAUUGCAA